GACGAACGCUGGCGGCGUGCUUAACACAUGCAAGUCGAGCGAGGCCCUUCCUUCGGGAGGGUGUCCUAGCGGCGAACGGGUGAGUAACACGUGGGCAACCUGCCCUCAGCUCUGGGAUAACUCCAAGAAAUUGGGGCUAAUACCGGAUAUGACUGCUGACCGCAUGGUCUGGUGGUGGAAAGAUUUAUCGGCUGGGGAUGGGCCCGCGGCCUAUCAGCUUGUUGGUGGGGUAGNGGCCUACCAAGGCGACGACGGGUAGCCGGCCUGAGAGGGUGGCCAGCCACAUUGGGACUGAGAGACGGCCCAGACUCCUACGGGAGGCAGCAGUGGGGAAUCUUGCGCAAUGGCCGAAAGGCUGACGCAGCGACGCCGCGUGGGGAGGAAGGCCUCGGUGUAA
rnacentral:rRNA from 1 species